AACGAACGCUGGCGGCAUGCCUAACACAUGCAAGUCGAACGAGACCUUCGGGUCCAGUGGCGCACGGGCGCGUAACGCGUGGGAACCUGCCCUUAGGUUCGGAAUAACUCCCCGAAAGGGGUGCUAAUACCGGAUAAUGUCUUCGGACCAAAGAUUUAUCGCCUUUGGAUGGGCCCGCGUUGGAUUAGCUAGUUGGUAGGGUAAAAGCCUACCAAGGCGACGAUCCAUAGCUGGUCUGAGAGGAUGAUCAGCCACACUGGGACUGAGACACGGCCCAGACUCCUACGGGAGGCAGCAGUGGGGAAUAUUGGACAAUGGGCGAAAGCCUGAUCCAGCAAUGCCGCGUGAGUGAUGAAGGCCUUAGGGUUGUAAAGCUCUUUUACCCGGGAUGAUAAUGACAGUACCGGGAGAAUAAGCUCCGGCUAACUCCGUG
rnacentral:rRNA from 1 species